GCCGGGGUGGCCGAGCGGCCCAAGGCGCGGGACUUGAGAUCCCGUCCCCGUCUAGGGGGCGUGGGUUCAAAUCCCACCCCCGGCGCCA
rnacentral:tRNA from 1 species